rnacentral:tRNA from 1 species
GGUUUUAUAGUUUAAAUUAAAAACUUUAAAUUGCAAGUUUAAUAAUGAUGUAUUUCUAGGACCU